GCCUGGCGUGCUGCAAUUCAUGGGGUCGCAAAGAGUCAGACACAACUGGGUGACUGAACUGAAUUUCAUUUAUUAGACAAAUCUGCAAAGAGGAACUACACCUCCAACUAUUUAGUUACCUUGAAGAACAGCUCAUAAAGGGGUGGCUAGAUAAAUGCUUUAUUCUUUUGUCAGUUUUUAUUUUUAUUUUUUUUUAUUUUUCUAUUUUCAGUCCUGUGUCUUUAUUAAAGAAAGUUAGAGACUAGAUCUGACAAACAAGGGGUGAGAUGCUGGCUAGAAGGGAGUGGGCCAUGGGGGUGCGUGAUCAGCUGGUUCUGCAGGGAGUCCAGGGCCGUCCUCGGACCCCUUUUCUUGAGACCACCUUUUCUUGUCUACCUAGAUCAUCCACUGGUCCUGAUCCUGUUCAUUGCCUUCCAUGUCCACCUGCAGAGGAGGCUGGGUGUGGGUGGGGAAGGGCCUCAGCCACCCAGCCAGCCCCAGUCCCAGGUCCUGCCCCUGGCAGGAUCCAGCGUUUCCGUUCCCUUGGCUACACCCCUGCCUACCUCAUUGACCUCUCCGUCAUCAGGUGACUCAUUGUAGUCAUUCAUCUCAUCCAUGUCCUGCAUNNNNNNNNNNNNNNNNNNNNNNNNNNNNNNNNNNNNNNNNNNNNNNNNNNNNNNNNNNNNNNNNNNNNNNNNNNNNNNNNNNNNNNNNNNNNNNNNNNNGGCUUGCCAAUAGGUACCAGGUUGUUGUCUUUCUCUGCAAUGCUCUGGAGUGCGCCGGGAGGCGGCAGCCAGCGGCAACCCGGAAGCAUUUCUUUCUCUUGUCAGUUUUUAAAAUAGUGAGUUGUACAGCAUCUUCCAGAGACAUUGAGGAGUUUAUAAAGAAAUGUGUAAGAAUUUAUAAGGAUUUCUGCCUCUUGCCUCUUAGCUUUAACCCCAAAUCUGAAUCAAAGCGGCCAUUUUUUCCACUUACCAUAGACACUUUCAUAUAAAAUAUUACAACCUUCCCUUAUUUCUUCUUCAUGGUUGAUUUUUCUCUCUUGAUUACUGUUAACUCCUCUCCUCUACUUUUUUCCUUCCUCUCUACUUUCUAAUACCUUCCUCAGCAAUUCUACUUUAGCCACUAAAAUUCUUCCCACUAUGGCCAUACCACCCUGAAUGCGCCUGAUCUCGUCUGAAAUUCUUCCCAUGCUUCAGGGAGCCAGUACCCUAGUGGUCUCUGACCCAAUUUUGGAAAGCAGCAUCUGAAAAUAUUUAUUUUGAUUGCUUUUACAACUAGGUUUUUUUUUUUUUUUUUCAGGCAGUUGCAAAGGAAUACAUAGAGGGGAAAAGUUCAGUAUUGACACAUUAAUGGGGUGACCACAAAAAGCCCAACCACUUCAUGAGCACACAAGACAUUUAGCCAACUAUAGCCAAGCAAUGCUGAGUGUAUCCAGUGGAUUACUCAGUAAGAAAAGCUACUCAGAACUAAAAUCUUUCCAAGCAUAAUUUUACUGUAAUUUUUUAUUAUUAGGUAGAAAAUCAUUCUCAGUCUAUUUUCUGUAAUUAGUCUAUAUAAAAACAUCACAUUAACUUCUGUUUUUUGUUUUUCUUUUAAGUAAGUUUAAGAAAAAUAAAUUUUUUUCCCAUCCAAGUGAGAAAGAAAAAAACAUACCAUGUGACUUCCCAAGAAAGCCCUGUAGAUAGAGUUUAGCAAUUCUGCAACGCAAUUAUUUCAUGGCCUUUUGCCUGAAUAAUUCUAAGCUGCUUCUCCAGAGGAAAUGAGUCAGAAGAAAUAUGCUUGCUGUGUCCUUCUUUCUUGGGAGACUUCUCUUGAUAUCUUGUAGAUCCAUGAGGCUUCAUUAAAUGCAAGUCUUUUGACUUGUCUGCAUAUUUUUUCAAUCUGAUUUUGAUAAUCUGUUUCUAGGAUACUUUAAAUUUAAAACCAUAUGGUAUGUGUAAGAUAUCAAUGUUAGGAAAUGAAGAGAUGCAAAUGUAUUCUGCUUUCUGUAGCCCUGUACCUAAUGUCAGACUCUGCCUGCUAAUGCACGAGACUCAGGUCCUAUCCUUGGAUCAGGGAGAUCCCCUGGAGAAGGAGAUGGCAACCUAUUUCAGUAUUCCUGCCUGGAGAGUUCCAUAAAGAAAGGAACCUGGCGGGCUACAGUCCAUGAGGUCACAAGAGUCAGACAUGACUUAGUGACUAAACAAGAACCUAAUAUCAGCACCUGGGGGCAGGAGUCUGCCUGAUGGUAGAACUCAGGGAGGGCCACAAAGGGUAGCUGUGUUGGGGUGCAUUCUGAAAGAGAACUGCUUGGCUGUGCAGCGGCAACAGCAGGAACAUGCAGGAUGGUACUUGACACUGAUCUUACAGAGGACUUUGGCUAACUUUGUCCCGUGGGAGCUUUGACAGGUCUUAGAAACUGUAGAGCAAUUCCUCAAUUCAUUUAAAUUUGAAAAUUGAUGUCUCAUUUGAUAUGAGAUUUAUAAUGACUCAGCUGAUUAAACUUCUAGAUGAGAGCUAAACUUAUUUUUAGUGUGUCAAGGUCUGGCAGUGUAGGACACCCUUUGACUCCACAGCCAUCCUGGUUUCAGUCACUCCAGGCUAGACCAGUAGAGCAGUCGGUCCCCAAAGCA
rnacentral:lncRNA from 1 species